AAUGACCACGAGUAUUCUUGGGGAACUAACAUUUAUUUGCUAUGGUUAUUGCUUGAGAAUACACGUAGUUAAU
rnacentral:pre_miRNA from 1 species